GACUGAUGAGACUAAUGAGAAUAAUGUUUUAUGGCGUAUGGACUAUGGUCUACCGAUUAAAUAUGCCAACGAACUAAAUUUCGAUUAGAAAUAAUCGAAAACGUCUUCCUUUGUCAAUGCCAAAGAUAGCAGAUUUGAAUAACCAGUUGGACACAUUUGUUUGAAGUUGUGGAUCUUUAGACUCUGGAGCAAAUCUCGUUUGUGUCAUGAUGGUAGGGGACACAGGGCUGGCUUCUUUGUGGAGACGGUUGUUGUCACAGAAAGGAGCGAGGACAAGUCACACAUAAGGCACGUGUUCCAGUGCGGCCCCUGGCUGGACUCGCACAACGGUAACUGCCACAUGGAGACGAUGCUGAGAAUGAUUGGUUGCUCAUGUACGGUGACUGUGAAGACUAGCGAGGGUAAAAGGACGGCCACCACAGGGAAGGUUCAAAUCACCAUGUAUGGCACCAGUGGCCACACUGCAGCCCUCCUCCUCUCAUCUUUAGACCCUGGGACUCUGGCAUUCACUUCCGGGGCCAAGUCUGAGUUCCAUAUCAGCACCGGGCACGUUUGCCGAGUAACCAAGAUCUGACUAGAAUGUGACAACUCUGGCUCUAAACCUGACUGGAGGGUUGAUUAUGUAUGAUAUUGCUGAUUUUAUUGUGCAUUCCUUUUGAUUAACUUAAGCCACUAGAAGCUAAGUAUAAUGAUCAUUAUGAGAAUCGUGAUUUGUACUAACAUACAUCGCCCUAAAAUCCUAUAAUGGGCCAUAGUUCUAUAUCUGUUCUGUAAAUAAUACAUGACAU